rnacentral:rRNA from 1 species
CCUACGGGAGGCAGCAGUAGGGAAUCUUCCACAAUGGGCGCAAGCCUGAUGGAGCAACACCGCGUGAGUGAAGAAGGGUUUCGGCUCGUAAAGCUCUGUUAUUGGGGAAGAACGUGCGUGAGAGUAACUGUUCACGCAGUGACGAUAUCCAGCCAGAAGGUCACGGCUCACUACGUGCCAACAGCCUCGGUAGUACGUAGGUGGCAAGCGUUAUCCGGAUUUAUUGGGCGUAAAGCGAGCGCAGGCGGUUGCUUAGGUCUGAUGUGAAAGCCUUCGGCUUAACCGAAGAAGUGCAUGGGAAACCGGGCGACUUGAGUGCAGAAGAGGACAGGGGAACUCCAGGUGUAGCGGUGGAAUGCGUAGAUAUAUGGAAGAACACCAGUGGCGAAGGCGGCUGUCUGGUCUGCAACUGACGUUGAGGCUCGAAAGCAUGGGUAGCGAACAGGAUUAGAUACCCCUGUAGUC